GCACUUUCGAUGUGCCUAGUGGUUAUGGCGUCUGUCUUACAGUUUUCAGUGUGCACAGAAGGUCGCCGGUUCGAUCCCGGCAGAGGUCA